rnacentral:rRNA from 1 species
AUUCCAGCUCCAAUAGCGUAUAUUAAAGUUGUUGCAGUUAAAAAGCUCGUAGUUGGAUUUCUGGGAGGGUGGCGAUGUCCGCUUAACGUGUGUGCAGCGGCGCCCUUCCAUCCUUCUGUUAGCGUCUCUUGGCAUUCAUUUGCUGGUGGCGGGCUCAGAUAUUUUACCUUGAGAAAAUUAGAGUGUUUCAGGCAGGCUAGGCCGGAAUACAUUAGCAUGGAAUAAUGGAAUAGGACUACGGUCUCUUUGUUGGUUUGAGGGACUGCAGUAAUGAUUAAUAGGGAUAGUUGGGGGCAUUAGUAUUUAAUUGUCAGAGGUGAAAUUCUCAGAUUUGUUAAAGACUAACUUAUGCGAAAGCAUUUGCCAAGGAUGUUUUCAUCA